UUUCCUUGAAACAAAUCUCUCUCUCUCCAUAGACACACACCUCCUAUUGGUUCUGUUUCUUCGGAGAACCCCGACUGAGAUAGCAUGUGUUGGAGAAAAAGGAAAGACACACACCCUGUCUGGAGCUCCUCCCCUCUCUCUGUCCAGAAUCCAGAGUUUUCUAGAAUAGUGAUCAGCCUGAGAGUGGAUCCGGUGAAUGUGACCCUACCUGACCUCCUGCCCGAUGCCGUGAGCUCACCACUCUGACCGAUAAACUUGCAGGAGAGGUUACAGGGGGAAGGAGAAGGAAGGCAAGUUCCAGGAUGCUGGUGACCAAGGGGGAAAUCUGGAGGAAAUGGCAGUGCCACACAAUUAGGAAGCCUCAUUGGCAUGUGAUUCUUGGAUGAGAAAACAUUGUGUCAGUGUUAAUGGCGGAAGGGGUCCAGGAAGAGAGAAAAGCAUAAAAGAAGACACCGGAAUAUGAGAAUGCUGGCUGGGUUGGAGAGGUUUUUUACAAGUCAUACCUGCAGGAUUAAAAUUGGAGAGGAAAAUCAGGACGGGUAGGGACCGCUUCCUCUGAGCUUGUGGAGCAGCACUUACUACUGGAAAUGCAGAAACAGAACUCGACAUACCAACCUGUUUUCCUCUCAACAUGUUUUUAUGGAGAAGCAGUACCGGAAACUUUUCAGGAGUCCUGCUCUGGCUAGCCGGCAUCAGCCGCGGGUGAUUACGCGGCAGCUGAAGGGGAGACCCGUGCAGGAGGUGGCCAAAGGCCUUUCAGCUUUCACCUGGCUGGCAUUCCCAGCUGUCCCCGCCCUGCUGUUCUUCUGGGCACAAACAGACCUCGCAAGCAUGGUCCAUGGUCUCCCCUGCAGACCUGGCCCCACUCAAGAGAGCAGAGUUCGAAAGCAGAAGGGAAGAGAAUUUACAGUGGCUGGGGGAAGCUUUUAAAGGAUACCCUUACUGUGUCAAAAAAAAAAAAUAUGCAGAGGGAGCCCAUAUUUAAGAUUGGCUACGUGUCCUUAUAAUUAUUGAAAAACAUGAUUUUUUUCCCUCUAAAUAGAAGGGAUUUACCAUUUAUAUGAAAUAACCUCAUUUAAUAGGUUUUUCUUUUGGUUUAACAAAAGUAAUAAGUUACUGACCAAGAAGAAAUAUCUGAGCAAAAAAUGCAUUGGGUAACAUUAAAAAAUGAAAAUUGCAGAGAUAGACUAAGUUACCUUCAAUAAUAACUAAAAUGUCAUUGUUGGGGUAUUACUAUGAAGCUAUGGAAAAUAAUGUAAUAGUAAUGUGUAAAUACAGAAAGAAAAAAAAACCUUGGGGGGAAUAAAGGCCUGUUUGCAAUAAGGAAAUAGCUCACCCCACGUGCAUGCGUGUGUAAUACCUGAAGGUUGCUGCUGGUCAAGGCCGGCAGUACAGGGUGGGGGUUGACAAAAUGACUCUAGGAUCCUCACAUUUGGGUUCUAAGCCCAGCCUCACCUCUUGCGAGCUGAUGGGUCUCGGACAAGUUACUUAACUUCUCCAUGUCUCUCUCUCGUGUGUGUGUGUCUGUGUGUGUGUGUGUAAAAAUGAGGUAAAAUACUGUUGUGCGAGGUUUAACCAAGGUGACGCAGUGAGCGGAUGUCUGGCUGUUAACUAGAGCUUGAUAGCAGCUGAAAGGAUGUCUACUGCACUAAUUGGAAUGAUGUGUUUAUUUUUAUAAUAAUGGAAAAUUAAGAGAAUUUCUGUCUAAAUGUUAAAUUUAAAAAUAAAAGCAUUUAUCAUAAACAUAGACCUAUUUUCCAGGCUAAGUUGAACUCAGCCCAAGCCCUUACAGGCAUCUAGGAAAUUUCCAGGCAGUGUUGUCUCAGGCUACCAUUCUGGACUUCAGAGCCAUGGCAAGGCUUGGAGUGAAAGCUUGCCACUUUGAUUUGCCUCCUUCAGUUCAAAUAGCAAAAGCUUUUAGUUAACAGCUUAUUUUAAUUACUCUUGCCAGAAUCUUAUUUGUUCGGAAAUUCAAUCAUUUCAAAAAAAAACACCCGAAUCCCUCAGUCUUUCUGCUUCUGCCAGGAGAGUAAGCAUCCAUUUACCACCACCACCAACCCCUGUCUCCUGGAAGCCCUGAAAAUAAAGGCCUGGUGUUGAUCAAGCUGAGGUCCUUUUCCAAUCAAAAGCAAGACACUUGUGUCAACUAAGCAGCUGUUUCCCAUUCAGCUUUCUUUUUCCUCCUUAUCACAGAAUGAAAUGCUGAAUAAUUAUUUCACGGAUGUCCAAUCUUGCCUCCCCGGUAGAUUGUAAUUUCUUUCGUCUUGAACUCCAGAGUGUCCAACUUUGUCGUAGGCACAUGGUAAAUACUUAAUGAAACCCUCUUCCUUAUUUAUUAGCAUCUGCGAAAAGCUUAGACUAAUUUUAUACUUACGAAGAAACAAAAACUAUAGAUUCAAGGGAUGAAAUGUGAUGAGCGAGACACACACAUUCACCAAGCAACAUACAAUUUAAAAAUGUCUAUAUUUUUAAAAACCCUGAAUGCAAAAUGAAGGCUCAUUCUACUAUUCUAGGACAGGCAAUGUCUUUGAAAGCUUGGUUGCCUACUUCCAUGAAGCCACAAUCAAAUCUUGCUACGCACCAAUCAUCAGAGUGUGCUAAAGUGCAAAAUCUUCGUUACCUUGACAUUUCAUUUAGCUUCUGCUGAAUACUCAGUCAAUUCUUCCAAAUUCAGAAAAAUGUUCCUCAGCAUUUACCUUGUCAUUUUGAUGAUGCCAUACAUCCCACAAUCAAACAGAAAUUGUCAGGGCUCCUUUUCUUUUAUAGGAAUUCAACUAUGCCUUUGUAAACCUGAAUUACUUGCAUUGAUUGGUGAAAAUGAUUUAUUAUUUUUUUCACACUUCUAUAUUGCUCAGGGAGAGGAAGAUGUAAUUACUCAGUUUACGUAUACACAACACAACACUGUUUUUAAAACUUUUACACUUAGAGUGUAGAUUUGGGGUUGACACCCCCUGCAACAAGGAAAAUGCAGUCUCUGAGAUUUGAGGCAAUUCACAGAGUCACGGUGAAAUCAGAAUGGACUUCUUAUUGGAGAGAGUGGCAGAAAAUUGCCAGCAUGACUGGCACUUCUGGAUUCAAGAAUAACAGAUAAUUUCUGGUAUCUGAAGCCUGUGAUCUACAGACACGGAUGGCUACCAAAUCCACCACUCUAGCUAGGCCUCUCUUUUGAAUUCUGGUCUAUUUGUUGGAGGUUUAUACCAAAUGGCCUGCUGUCCCUUCAACCUCCGACUCUCUAAAGUUGUGCUCCUAAUCGUUCCUUUCAAUACUGGUUACUUUGUUCAUCUGUCCUCUUCCUAACAAAGUCGCCAUGAUUUCCCCAGACACUGAGAUGCUAGGGGUGACAUUUAAAUUUUCCUGGUCAUGGAGCAACCCUUGGAUUUUGUGAUUCUUCUUUGGGACUGCCUUUCAUACCUAACUCUUUUCCAUUCUGGCUGGUUUCUCCCACAUUCAAGUCUUUCAUCCCUUCAGCAUUUCCUUCCUUACCCUAAGUUCCCGUCCUUGUGGAAGCAGUACCAGGCAGGAACAAUGACCAAAAAAUCCUUUUGUUCAAGGACACCUUUAAUACCAAUUGUCCAAUGGGAACAAAAACCACUCUAGUAAACCCAUGCUCCAAAUUAUUGCAGGAUUCAACUACAUGACUUCAAAGGAAACAAAAUGGGAUCUUCAACUCAGAAGGGAAAAAAAAUUAAACAGCUUGAACUAAAUUAUAAUAGCUUCAAGCAUAGAUGAUUAGCUUCCUGCCUCUACAUUCUUUUCUCCUUUACCCCAAUUCAUGAUGCUCCUUUUCUUUUUUUUUUCAUGAUACUCCUUUUCAUUAGAACUAAUAUUCCUGCAACACAUCAGUGUUUCUUAUGUCCAAUAAAAUCAGCCUUUCAAAGUGGUUGUUUUUAACUCCCCACAUAGAGAAGAGCCCAAAGAAAUGUUUCACAUCUUAAGUUUAUUUUAGAGAUUGGAUCAUAUGGUAUUUGCAUUUUGUAAGGUCAACCAGGAUAUGUUAGUUCAUUGUUGGUCUUCUGUGUGUUAGUAUUUGUUUUUUUUUUUUUUUUAC